rnacentral:rRNA from 1 species
CAAAGGGAUUACCGGUGGCGGAUGGGCAUGCGGCGCAUUAGCUAGUCGGCGGGGUAACGGCCCACCGAGGCGACGAUGCGUAGGGGUUCUGAGAGGAAGGUCCCCCACACUGGUACUGAGACACGGACCAGACUCCUACGGGAGGCAGCAGUGAGGAAUAUUGGUCAAUGGGCGCGAGCCUGAACCAGCCAAGUCGCGUGAGGGAUGACGGUCCUACGGAUUGUAAACCUCUUUUGCCGGGGAGCAAGCGUGCGUUCGUGAACGCGCGUCGAGAGUACCCGGAGAAAAAGCAUCGGCUAACUCCGUGCCAGCAGCCGCGGUAAUACGGAGGAUGCGAGCGUUAUCCGGAUUUAUUGGGUUUAAAGGGUGCGUAGGCGGGAUGCCAAGUCAGCGGUAAAAAUGCGGUGCUCAACGCCGUCGAGCCGUUGAAACUGGCGUUCUUGAGUGGGCGAGAAGUAUGCGGAAUGCGUGGUGUAGCGGUGAAAUGCAUAGAUAUCACGCAGAACUCCGAUUGCGAAGGCAGCAUACCGGCGCCCUACUGACGCUGAGGCACGAAAGCGUGGGUAUCGAACAGGAUUAGAUACCCUGGUAGUCCACGCAGUAAACGAUGAAUGCUAACUGUCCGGCUCGA